CCUAGGAAAUUGAAGUGUAUGUCACAGAAUGGACCUGGGAAUAGAAUUAUUAUCCAGAAUAAACUCCUCCACCCCAUGUUCCUAGAUCUUUUAUAACCAUGCCAAGUGCCUGAUUAACUUUCUCCAUUCAGAGCAUGAAACCACUGAUAAAGGAAAAAAAGUCUCUAGAUUUAGAGAGAUGGAGUACAUAAAGGUUUCCCCUGUGUCACAGGAGACAUACCUGGAAAACACAAUAUCGAAUCUGGUCAAUGUAAGGAAAGCUGCUUAGCAUGUAGGCCAUGACAGUUCUCAGAGACAUCAUCAUUAGGCCCUGCCUGAAAAAUCUCUUGUAACCUGGAGAUACCUAUCUUCUUCUAUGAUGUCACAAGUUUUGUCGUGACUGCAACUGCUUCUCAUAUAUUCCUUCAGUACCUCUAGGGUUUCCUAACUGGCCUCUCAUUCAGAGUAAACAUCAAUUUGAGAGGGUGAACAAAGAGGAUGAAAAGAUCAGAUAUGGGGAGACCAAAGGAAGCUCGCCUUCUGUCUUGGUAUAAAAAGGAAGAAAUGCAUGGUCCUUGGUACAACUCAACACAAACCUACAAAUAAUUGACUUCCUCUGUGCUGUGUGUGGCAUACUGGAUUCAUCCAACUUAUGAAAUAUAUACUCCACAACCGUGCUGAGAUGGAUACACAUGUUAUACCCCUCAAAAGCCACCCUGAAAGAAAAGGCAAAGAGACUGUAGGUGCAAAAUUGUGGGGUGCAUCAGACGGAAAGCGUGUCUUCAUGAUACGAGGAGUCCUGUCCUCAUGACACACAGCAGCUGUGGUUCCCUCCACACCUUCAAGCCAGUCAACCGUCCAGAAUGCAGUGAAAAGUCCUGAAAUCUGUUACUCCUAACUGACACACUAUGGACAGUUAGUGUCUUUUGUUGGAGUGUUGAACAAUUUUUUGUAAGGGUUUAUCAUGGUGUUAUUAAACAGUAUUUUAAUGUAGAAGAUAUACAAAUGUAGAAUUCAAAGAAAAAAGAGUAAUGUGUGUAAAAUAAAUGGGAAAAUUGUCAUCAAAAUACAUUGGUGGAAAUUCUCAAAAAAAUAAAAAAAAUAAAGUAUAUUCUACAAUUUUA